CAGUAGCCGCGGGAAUACGAAGGGGGCUAGCGUUGCUCGGAAUUACUGGGCGUAAAGGGCGCGUAGGCGGCUGUGUUAGUCAGGCGUGAAAUUCCUGGGCUCAACCUGGGGACUGCGCUUGAUACGGCAUGGCUUGAGGAUGGAAGAGGCUCGCGGAAUUCCCAGUGUAGAGGUGAAAUUCGUAGAUAUUGGGAAGAACACCGGUGGCGAAGGCGGCGAGCUGGUCCAUUACUGACGCUGAGGCGCGACAGCGUGGGGAGCAAACAGGAUUAGAUACCCGCGUAGUCCCUGUCUCUUAUAC
rnacentral:rRNA from 1 species